UGGGGAAUAUUGCACAAUGGGCGCAAGCCUGAUGCAGCAACGCCGCGUGAGUGAAGAAGGUCUUCGGAUCGUAAAGUUCUGUUGCAGGGGAAGAUAAUGACGGUACCCUGUGAGGAAGCCCCGGCUAACUACGUGCCAGCAGCCGCGGUAAUACGUAGGGGGCUAGCGUUAUCCGGAUUUACUGGGCGUAAAGGGUGCGUAGGUGGUCUUUCAAGUCGGUGGUUAAAGGCUACGGCUCAACCGUAGUUAGCCUCCGAAACUGGAAGACUUGAGUGCAGGAGAGGAAAGUGGAAUUCCCAGUGUAGCGGUGAAAUGCGUAGAUAUUGGGAGGAACACCAGUAGCGAAGGCGGCUUUCUGGACUGCAACUGACACUGAGGCACGAAAGCGUGGGUAGCAAACAGG
rnacentral:rRNA from 1 species